UAUGCUUUGCACAGUGGCUGGCAUACAGGAAACGUUUAAUAUAUGGUAGCUACUAUAAACUCGGUUAUUUCCGUGUAGCUUUCCAUGUCUACAUGGAGGGAGAAAAUGAGCAGAUGUCCAUUAUAAUUUAGCUAUUACAGUUUUCACUCUAAAGUAAAAAAGGCAUUUAGAUUUAUAUGUCUUCUGGGAGUUUGGUUCUUCUGACUCCCUUCAUCUGUGAGACCAUAGGUACUUUUAUGUAAUAUGAUAAAAAUUAUUAGAAAAAGAAAAAAACGGCCGGGUGCAGUGGCUCACACCUGUAAUCCCAGCGCUUUGGGAGGCCAAGGCAGGAGUAUCGCUUCAACUCAGGAGGCAGAGGUUGCGGUGAGCCAAGAUCGCACCAUUGCACUCCAGCCUGGGCAAUAAGAGCGAAACUCUGUCUCAAAAAAGAAAAAAAUAAACUAAAAAGGAAAAAAGGGCCGGGCACGGUGGCUUACGCCUGUAAUCCCAGCACUUUGGGAGGCUGAGGCAGGCGGAUCACAAGGUCAGGCAAUGAAGACCAUCCUGGCCAACAUGGUGAAACCCCGUCUCUACUGAAAAUACAAAAAUUAGCUGGAUGUGGUGGUGCACACC
rnacentral:lncRNA from 10 species